CAAAUUCCCACAAACCAAUGUAAUUGGGAAUGUGAAACUUGUUGGGCCUGAUUGGGUGAGUCUGCCAUCAGUCAGUGGGAGUGUGUGUGUGUGUGUGAGCUGGAGGGUUGUGUUUGAGAAGCCAACAGAGGAGACAAGCAGUGCAAAAGGGACCAGGCUUGCUGUCAGGAUACACUCAUCUCCUGUCCUAAAGGAAGCCUGUGGUUCUGGAAUGGCACUGAUGGAGCUUAUCUUUGUCUUGAGUGGUGCCUGCGUUGUCCUCUUUUGGCUGGCACGCAUGUUUAUGAUGCUCGCUCCGAAGGUCUGUUGGCCAAUUCCUGGGAAUUUCUUUACCUCGAUGGGAAAAUGGGCAGUCAUCACUGGAGGGUCAGAAGGAAUAGGAAAAGCUUAUGCAGAAGAGUUUGCAAGACUUGGGCUGAAUGUGGUGAUCAUUAGCAGGAGCAAAGAGAAGCUUGACAGAGCUGCAAGAGACAUAGAGGUUAAAAUGGACAGAAAGGUCAUGGUCAUAGCCGUCGACUUUACCAAGGAUGAUAUCUAUGGAUGCAUUAAGGAAAAUAUUCAGGGUUUGGAUAUCGCCGUUUUAGUUAAUAAUGUGGGAAUUCUGCCAAGUAAGGUGCCCUACAAAUUACUUGAAACAGUUCAUCUGGAAGAGAAAAUUCAUCAAAUGAUCAACUGUAAUGUCAAAGCAAUGGUCAAGAUGUGCCGCAUUGUCCUUCCUGGAAUGGUGGAAAGAGGACGGGGCGUCAUCCUGAACAUUUCAUCUGGCAUUUCUAAAAUUCCCUUCCCCAUGUACACUUUAUAUUCAGCUACAAAGGUGUUUGUUGACAUAUUCUCACGAGGGCUUCAAGCAGAAUACAAAUCCAAUGGAAUUCUUAUUCAGUAUUCUCAUCAAGGACCUGGCUCUUCCAGAGUGUGUCUCCUUUUGGGGUCUCCACUGCAAUGACGGGCUAUCAGAAACCAAGCAUUAUUACUUUCACUCCUGAGGGGUUUGUGAGGAGCUCCCUGAUGUAUCUGAAAGCUGGAGAGCAAACAUAUGGCAGUGUCAGCCAUGCAAUCCUGGGCUGGAUCAUCCAGGCAAUCCCCACCUGGGUUCUGAGGAGAGAAGCACUUCACAAUGCAUUUCAGGACUAUGUAAAGAAGCAGGUGGGCGGCUGAGGGCUGUGUUUGUAAUCUAGCACUUUGAUAGUGCAUAUUAUUUCUUCAUGCCACUAGUAAUUGUUGUCACCAUCUGAAAACCACUGCUUGGGAAGCUAGAGGAAGUCAGGGUCAUACUAAAUGCCUUAUCAGCACCCUAAGAUAGCAGAAUCUCAGAAUGUACUUGACUAUACUUCCCAUGUGCAAAGACUCUAUGCUCCUUAAUUGGUCUCAAGAUAAAGGAGAAAUAAUGAAAUUAUACAACAGGUAAUUUUUUUGUGCCAAGUCCGUUUGAAGGCAAAUUGCUUUUAACUGAAUUAUGAGGCACGUUUAUCAAGUACACAUCAUCUUGUCCAGGGUUAGUGACCCUUAUAUGAAACCAGUGUGGGGAGAGAAAAAUUUUAGAAUACAUGGCUCCAUCUAGUGGGCACAGCUCAUCUCAAAUCAAAUCUGCUGACAUUCAGAGAAUAUAUGUAUAUGCAACUAUAUGAAAUUUAACAAUAAGAAUGUGUGUGGACUGUGUGUAUUACUGUGCAAGUGUAUAUAUAUAUAUAUAUAUAUAUAUAUAUAUAUAUAUAUAUAUAUAUAUAUAUAUAUAUAUAUAUAUAUAUACCAAAGUCUUAGGCACAUGCAAAGAAAUGCUGUAGAGCAAAGAAAAAUAAUGAAAUUGAAAGUUUCUACAUUAAAAAAAUACUAUAAAGGGCAGUAAACAGUAAUAAAAGAAACAACAUCAAUAUUUGGUGUGCUGGCCCCUUUUAAAAAAUAAUUUAAAAAAAUUAAAUAAAAUAAGCACAAUUAGUACAAUUUGUGCAAUUUUAUAAGGAAAUUAUCUGGUAGGUUUUACUGUAAUAUGCUGCUUUCUUUCCUGACUUACAAACUUUUUUUCUAAUAAACGUUCUAAUAAUGUUUGGAAAUCUAAGAGGUUUUUGUUCUGACUUAAUAAUGUAGAAGUCAUAAAAUAAAAAUAUAUAACAAAGUUUAUACUAAAAAAAAUAGGUUGUCUAAGACAUUUGCACAGUACUGUAUACAGUAUACAGUAAAGAGUGCUUACUUGAGUUACUAUAGACUUCCUGUCAGCUCAGACCAGUCUGGUCAUUCUCCUCUGAUCUCUCUCAAAAAGGUAUUUUAUCCUGCAGACUCUCUACACCUUGUUUUUUGCACCAUUCUGUGUAAAUUCUAGAGACUCCUGUGUGAAAAUCUCUGGAGAUCAGCAGUUUCUGAAAUACUCACACCAGCCACAUAUGUAAAUAUAUAUGAUCUCUGUGACUUUAACUGUGGUAUGGUUGUUGGUACCAGAUGUGUGUGUAUGUGUGUAUAUAUAUAUAUGGUGUCCCAGAUGUCUCCAUACAUAGGGGACUAUGUUUGCCAGCAUCCCCUCGGCUGUGCCUUUGUCAGUGGAUGUUCAUGGACGUCACCCUCUUGGCGGGUCCGCAAAACGCCCAUUCUUUUUGAAUUUGUUAAUAAGUUUAGCCACAGUGUUGUGUGUGAUAUGCUUGCCAUGUUUCCUGUUAAAGUCCAUAGCAACCUUGCAACAGAUUCCUGAUCCAGCCAUGGAUCAACAUGUUCUUCUUUUGUUAAAGGCUUUCUUAAAGAAGGCUAUUUGAAAAAAAUAUAUAUCAUGGGACACCCUGUGUAUAUCUAUAUCUAUAUCUUAAUCUAUAUAUAUAGAUUUAUAUAUCUAUAUAUAUAUAUACACACACAAUCAAAGGUUCAAUCAUGUUUUAUGUAUCCCAAAAUGCAGAUAAUUUAUAUUCCCCCCGACCUGUGAAUGAUAAGAUUUAAUACAAAAAUAAAUAAAUAAAUAAAUAAAUACAU